GGAGGGUUCCUUUAUUGGUAAGAAGGGCUAAACUGUAAAUUUAGUACAUUAUUGUUUUAAGAGUUCGAAUCUCUUGUCUCCUA
rfam:Drechmeria coniospora strain ARSEF 6962 chromosome, whole genome shotgun sequence.